UACGUAGGGUGCGAGCGUUAAUCGGAAUUACUGGGCGUAAAGCGUGCGCAGGCGGUUCGUUGUGUCGGCGGUGAAAGCCCCGGACUCAACCUGGGAAUGGCCGUUGAAACUGGCGAACUGGAGUGUGGCAGAGGGGGGUGGAAUUCCGCGUGUAGCAGUGAAAUGCGUAGAGAUGCGGAGGAACACCGAUGGCGAAGGCAGCCCCCUGGGCUGACACUGACGCUCAGGCACGAAAGCGUGGGGAGCAAACAGG
rnacentral:rRNA from 1 species